CCAUAACAUUACAACUACUGGGAGAUGAAGUGAAGAACUUUUAUUAUCUCAUUACAAUGGCACCGGUCAAGGGGUGGGAUAUAUAAGGCAGCAAGUGACCAGGCAGUUCUUAUGUGUUGGAAGGAGGAAAAAUGGGUAAGCGUAAGGAUCUAGGAUCCGAUAAGGGCCUAACUACGAUGGCUAGACAGGUCAGAGCAUCUCCAAAAUGGCAGCUUUGUCUGACAUUUUGUCCGCUCUUAAUGACAUCUGGGCAUAUCAGAGAUCAAUUAUUGUAACAGGCAUUUAGAAGACCUGCCUGAUCCAUCAUGGUGCCUUACUUCUGGUUGGAGUUCUCAUCACUUGGAAAUCAUUCACUUUUGCUGAGGAUGGCCCCACAUGGACAGCCUAAGGAUCAGUGAGAUUACUGAGGAUGGUAGCGCUUAAAAACCAUGAAGAUGGCUAUGGACUGCAAUUGAUAUGAACAGUUUUUCUACAAUGGCAAAAACAAACCCCAUGUGAAAACUAUAAUGAAUGUCCUGGUUACACAAUUGCACUUUUUGACCAUGUAGUACAAGUGAUACUUAUAAAAGUGAAUUAUUUAUAAUUGCACUAUUUGGUGUCACCCAGACGAGAAUAAUUUCCCUUUUGAGUCUAGUUCCUCUGAAAGUUUCCUCUUCAUAUUGUCUCAGGGAGUUUUUCCUUGUCACCGUCGCC
ensembl:lncRNA